ACAGGAGCAGCUGCUGUUCACUGCUGAGUCGUCUUGACAGCCCUCACCGCCUUUUCUUGUUCUGCAUUUAUUUACUUUUUUCUUAAAUGGAUGGAUGUUUUGCUCACAUGUCUGUGCACCAUGUGUGUGUAGUGUCAGAAAGGGGUUUCCACUCCCUUGGGACUACAGUGACAGUUAGCGGUAACUGCCAUGUGGGUGCUGGGGAUCCCUAGAAUGGUGAUCUUAUCUACUGAGCUAUAUCUCCAGCCCCCCAAGAUCCCUUUUUGAGUUUGACAUUGGGCUAGUUGAUUUUUCUCUUAAUUACAAGAUGCUGACUGCUCAGCCACUGUAGCAGGUGCAGUUCAGGUUACCAGGGCAACAUAAUUCUAUCACACUGUUCUGCAGGUGCAGUUCAGGUUACCAGGGCAACAUAAUUCUAUCACACUGUUCUGUAGGUGCAGUUCAGGUUACCAGGGCAACAUAAUUCUAUCAUACUGUUCUGCAGGUGCAGGAUGCUGCUGUGUUGUGAUUUGAGAUGGCCAACUUCAAGUCACUCUCUUCCUCUCGUGCUGUGUAGUAGUCAAAGGUCACGGCUCUUUCUGCAUUGGAGAUUCUGGGACCUCAUCUCUCUCUCUCUCUGUUUUAUUUUG